AAAAGCAUCAAUUUAAAACGAUUUUUUGUACUUGUUAAUAAAUUUUAAAUAAAUAAACUGAAAAUAUGGUUAAUGAAAAAUUAAGAAUGCGUAAGCAACUUGGUCUACUUGAAGGGGUGGCGCUUAUACUUGGAAUUAUAUUCGGAAGCGGUGUGUUCAUUUCGCCUAAAGCAGUUUUGGAAAUGACUGGGUCUAUAUGGGGGUCGUUGACCGUAUGGGUUGCUUGUGGAGUGUUAUCCACUUUCGGUGCUUUGUGUUAUGCUGAGUUAGGCACAGCUCUUGUUCAAAGCGGCGGUGAUUAUCAUUAUAUCAAUGAGGCAUACGGUCAACUACCGGCUUUCUUAUAUCUCUGGGACGCUAUUUUAAUAUUCGUACCGACUUCGAAUGCAAUAAUGGCUUUAACAUUUGCCAACAAUGUUCUCCAGCCUAUUUUCAGUGGUUGUUUCAUAAAUCCUGUUUGUAGAAAACUCAUUGCCGCCUCGAUUAUAUGUCUAUUCACCUUCAUUAACUCUUACGACAUAAAGUUCACGACGAGAUUACAAAACUUAUUCACAUUUAUAAUGCUGUCCGCAAUAGUAAUGGUCGUGGGCGGCGGUGUAGUUUGGCUGGCUGAAGGGAACACGCAGAAUUUUUCGCACGGUUGGACAGGUACGACUACGUCUAUAAGCGACUGGUCGAUCGCUUUCUUUUUGGGAAUAUUCUCAUAUUCUGGUUGGAACUAUUUAAACUUCAUGGUAGAAGAGCUAGUCGAUCCGUAUGUGAAUCUGUCUCGCGCGAUAUACAUUUCUCUACCUCUGGUUACUAUUGUAUAUGUGAUGGCAAACAUUUCUUACUUGGCUGUGCUUGGACGGGAUAUGUUAAGUACAGAAGCUAUUGCCGUUGAUUUUGCCUCUAAAAUUGCCGGAUGGCUUAGUUGGAUAAUGCCGACAUUGGUAGCCAUUGCGACUCUUGGAGGUCUCUCUGUGAACAUAAUGACCUCAUCGCGCAUGUGCUUCGCUGGAGCAAGAAAUGGACAUUUACCUGAAAUACUAGCGCAUAUUAAUAUCAAAUGCAUGUCUCCUGUGCCGUCCUUAAUUUUCUUGAUGUUAUUAUCGUUGUUGAUGUUAAUACCUGAGAAUCUGACGUCACUAAUCACGUAUUGCACCGUUACUGAGUCAUUCUUCACGACGCUUUGUUGUUUUGCUGUAAUUUGGCUAAGAUAUAAGAGGCCGAAUUUACACAGACCCAUCAAGGUCCAACUGUGGAUGCCCGUAAUAUUCGUGAUCACCACGGCCUCCCUUCUCAUAAUACCGGUUGUGAGUGAGCCCAUAGCUGUAAUAUCAGGAAGUCUAAUCACAUUACUUGGUCUGCCUGUAUAUUAUACUUUGGUGAAGAAAACUCCUAAAAGAAUCGCAAAUUUAACACCGAAGUUAACGCGUAUCUGUCAACUAUUGUUCCUGGUAGCCGCCGAAGAAGAAGACGACUAAAAAAUAGCCUUCAAGCCAAAAAUCAAUAUUUUUUUAGCUUUGUUGUCCUAAAUUGAUUACGACAUGUGGCUGCUGCAUCUGAUUUUAUUGUUCAAAUUUAUUAUUCAGUGUGAAAGUGGCCAUGGGCACUACAACAACAUGUCGGCUCACGAGUUCACGACGCCCCCAGACGAGAUCGCUCCAAUGCUACCUGAUGAUGGAAUACCGGCUUCAACUGUUAUAGCAGGCCUCAUGCCGGAUUCAUUCGGAGAAAUGUUUAACUUCCUAGACGGAGACAGUUUUGGGAUCGGUCCAAUGCACGAGUUUGUGUACGGUUGGCAAGCAAUUGUGAAUACUAUGAGCAUGAAGAAUAACGUUGAAGUUCGCAAGCGCGCCGGUCUCCAACGCUUUGCGCUUGCUGGUAUCAACGGGAUCACACUGAUAUCUCAUAUUGGCGCCACUGAGAUCAUGAUAAACGGCACGAGAACUUAUUGCUUCGGAGGUGUCUCCAGACCUCCCGGUAGAAGAAGUGUUAUAUGUAAAGGAGCCAUGUACCAAGAAGGGAGAUUCUCGUGCAAAGUACCGUACCUGAGAUAUCCAACAGCGUUGGGAUACCGCUAUUGCAUUGACAAUUUCGCUUCGGUGCAUACAAUUGACGGGACAUUUAAAAAAACGUUUUGCGCUAGAGGAGAAUCUGUACCGAAAUUUCAUUACGACUAUAUUUGCGAAAGAAGGGACAUAAAGAUAAAGCGCGUGAACCUUACCGAUCCAAAUGAAAGAUUCAAUAUACGAAAUCCAAUAGUUAGAAGGGUAGAAUAUUACCGAGCGCCCUACGACAUACUGAAGGCAUGCCCUGAUUGGUAUGGAUGCAACCUAAGAAUAUCACCAGAUAUGCUCCAUCAGGAGCUCCCGAAUGGUUUGAUGGAUGCAAAUUCAACUGCUUUCGUCGGUCACGGUGGGAAAUAUUGGCUGGCGUUAUAUUAUACGCAGUUGUCGACUUAUGCUAUUUACUUCCAAGCUCAUGGAGAAUAUCCUUGGCAGUCAAACAGGCCUGUUGUGUCAGUAGAUAAAGGUGGUAUUUGGGAGCAGCUUCUGAAAGCUAAUAUUGGGCCUGAUAUGAAUUUGCAUUACAACUUGAACGGGAUCUACAACAGAUAUCCUGGCGGUUCGGUGUUCCCGGAUCUCAUGAGGAAUGAUGGCCAGGUACAGCCAGCUAAUUUCCGAACAGAAAACAGAGAUCCCGGUGGGGAACAAAUAUUGAUCGGUAACCAACAUCUAUCAGCUGAUGGUCCCGGUGGCGAACCUAAUGCAGGAGGCUACCAAUUUAUACACGAUUCACAAAUUCAACCAAACUUUGAACACGGGAAAAACUUAUCUUAAUAAUAAGUAUGACAAAAUUAAAUAUGAAUAAAAUUUCUAUGUU
rnacentral:lncRNA from 1 species